rnacentral:rRNA from 1 species
AGAGUUUGAUCAUGGCUCAGAAUCAACGCUGGCGGCGUGCCUAACACAUGCAAGUCGAACGAGAAAGGGUAGCAAUACCUGAGUAAAGUGGCGCACGGGUGAGUAACACGUGACUAACCUACCCUGGAGUGGGGAAUAACUGAGGGAAACCUUAGCUAAUACCGCAUAAUACCUACGGGUCAAAGGAGCAAUUCGCUUCAGGAGGGGGUCGCGGCCGAUUAGCUAGUUGGCGGGGUAAUGGCCCACCAAGGCAGUGAUCGGUAUCCGGCCUGAGAGGGCGCACGGACACACUGGAACUGAAACACGGUCCAGACUCCUACGGGAGGCAGCAGUGGGGAAUUUUGCGCAAUGGGGGAAACCCUGACGCAGCAACGCCGCGUGGAGGAUGAAAUCCCUUGGGAUGUAAACUCCUUUCGAUCGGGACGAUUAUGACGGUACCGGAAGAAGAAGCCCCGGCUAACUUCGUGCCAGCAGCCGCGGUAAUACGAGGGGGGCAAGCGUUGUUCGGAAUUAUUGGGCGUAAAGGGAGCGUAGGCGGUUUUGUAAGUCGUGUGUGAAAUCUUCGGGCUCAACCCGAAGUCUGCACUCGAAACUGCAGGGCUUGAGUAUGGGAGAGGUGAGUGGAAUUCCUGGAGUAGCGGUGAAAUGCGUAGAUAUCAGGAGGAACACCUGUGGCGAAAGCGGCUCACUGGACCAUUACUGACGCUGAGGCUCGAAAGCUAGGGGAGCAAACAGGAUUAGAUACCCUAGUAGUCC